CCAAGCCUGAAAACUGGAUCUUAAGGUAAGUAAUUGUAUAAAGUGCAAAAAUCUAAAUAGCUAUUCUAGUGUUCUAAAAAAGAAAAAAAAGUUAUUAAAUUUCUCUUCUGAACUACAAUUUAUGUUACAUGUCAAAUGAAAAGUAGAGAAU
rnacentral:lncRNA from 12 species